CACCGCCCGUCACACCAUGGGAGUUGGUUGCACCAGAAGCAGGUAGCUUAACCGCAAGGGGGGCGCUUGCCACGGUGUGGUCAAUGACUGAGGUG
rnacentral:rRNA from 1 species